CAACCCAUGCAAAAACCUGUCAUCUAUUGCUAGGAGUGAGAUGGCACUUAUAUAUGCUUUCUUCGUUUUGUCACUGGUGAAAAGGACCCUUGGGAUGCUUGUUUAUAUGCUUUUUGCUUACGCAAUCAUGAAGAGAAGUGCGACUCUGGAGUCAGUAUUAGCUGUCACUUCCUGUCAAGUCAUCGACGAGCAUUUAGCGGUGACAAGACCACAUAUCUCAGAGCUCUAUACUUGUGUUAUUUCCCCAGUGAGAGGCAGGUGAAUUUAAUCAAAUUAAGUCUCAGAAUUUCCUCGUCUUUAAAGCGACAGCCUCUCACAAGCUUUACAUGAGCUCCUGGAGUGUUUGAGAGGUAAAUUAUUUGUUUUUGUUUUUUUGUCUAGGAAAUAGAAAUGCAUUAAAAUUUUCCUUCUAUGUUAUCCACUUUAAUCUCCCUAUUUCACAGUUUACACGCUUGUGGAUCUUACAAGCCAAUUGAAAUGGGGAUAUUGGAACUGCAAGCAAAUAUUUUUCAGAGGAAAAUUGUGACUCAUCAAAAUGCUCCACAAACAACAUCCUGUUUACAGCAGUCAGCACAGACAGACACACGUCUCAGUGAAACGGCGGGAGCGCGGCUGGUAAUUAUCUCCAUAGGAGUGCUGGGAGCCAUCUCCUCAUCAUCUCCUGGUGCCAGGAGCGCGGGAGGAUUACUCCCUCCUCUGCUUCCCAUCAAGCCAAUAUCUACACGGGACGAGAGGAGUUGAGCGGCAUCUACGCGGACCCCGGGGUAUGAGAUGGUGAACUGUGUCUCAGUGGCUCUUUAAAGCUCCUUUCCACGGCUGAAUGAGCACAUGGCGUUUCAUUGUCCCGGCCUCCGAUCGUCAUAAAUCCACUCGUAUCUCUGGAGAGCAGCCAGGAAUGCCGCACUUCUCACUUUAGCCCGGCACAGGCCAUUAUAUCCGAUAUGAAUGUACACGACCUAAAGAUGCCAUGAAUACAAUAGACGGGGGAAAAGACAGCAUGGUGCCCUGAGGCGAUGGAGCCCAAGUCGGGUCUGAGCUCAAUAAACUGAGCCCACCUGCUGUCUAAAGGAUAUGA
ensembl:lncRNA